AGUGAACGCUGGCGGCAGGCCUAACACAUGCAAGUCGAGCGGCAGCACGGUGCUUGCUCCUGGAUUCAGCGGCGGACGGGCGGGUAAGUCCGAGGAAUCUCCCUGGCUGUUGUGGCUAACGUCCUGACGCGGGGGCUAAUACCGCAUACGCCCUGAGGGCGUACGUGUGAGAUCUUGGGACCUCACGCCAUCAGAUGAGCCUAGGACGGGUUAUCUAGUUGGUGGGGUAAAGGCCUACCAAGGCGACGAUCCGUCACUGCUCUGAGAGGAUGAUCAGUCACACUGGAACUGAGACACGGUCCAGACUCCUACGGGAGGCAGCAGUGGGGAAUAUUGGACAAUGGGCGAAAGCCUGACCCAGCAAAGCCGGGGGUGUGAAGAAGGUCUUGGGAUUGUAAAGCACUUUGAGGUGGGAGAAAGGCAGGUAAGUAAAUCCCUGCUGUUCUGACCGUAACCAAAGGAUAAAGACCCGGCUAAUUCCGGG
rnacentral:rRNA from 1 species